GGCGGGGGGGGCAAGUGUUAUUCAUCAUGACUGGGCGUAAAGGGCGCGCAGACGGCUGCCGUAAGUUAAAAAUUAAAUUUCCACUGAACGUGGUAACUUUUUUAAUACCGGUAGAAGCGUAGUGGGAUCCACUAUGGUCACUCGUAAAAAACAGCAAGUCGGGUUCUAGAGUGUAGUUUAAGGACAGUGGAACUCCCAGUGAAGAGGUGACAUUCUUGGAUACUGGAGGGGACGACCUAUUGGCGAAGGCGAUUGUCUAGACUAUCACUGACGUUGAGGCGCCAAAGCGUGGGGAGCAAACAGG
rnacentral:rRNA from 1 species